rnacentral:rRNA from 18 species
UUUGAUCCUGGCUCAGAUUGAACGCUGGCGGCAUGCCUUACACAUGCAAGUCGAACGGCAGCACGGGGGCAACCCUGGUGGCGAGUGGCGAACGGGUGAGUAAUACAUCGGAAUGUACCCAGUAGUGGGGGAUAACGUACCGAAAGGUACGCUAAUACCGCAUACGACUUACGGGUGAAAGCGGGGGAUCGCAAGACCUCGCGCUAUUGGAGCAGCCGAUGGCCGAUUAGCUAGUUGGUGAGGUAAAGGCUCACCAAGGCGACGAUCGGUAGCUGGUCUGAGAGGACGAUCAGCCACACUGGGACUGAGAC